ACGGGGUGCAGCAGGCGCGAAAACUUCACAAUGUGCGAAAGCACGAUGAGGGAAUCCCAAGUGCUUGCACGUAAGUGUAAGCUGUUUCUUUGUUUAAAACGCAUAGAGAGUAAGAGCUGGGUAAGACGGGUGCCAGCCGCCGCGGUAAUACCUGCAGCUCGAGUGGUGGCCGCUAUUAUUGGGCCUAAAACGUCCGUAGCCGGUUUAAUAAAUGCCUGGGUAAAUCGUGUAGCUUAACUAUACGAAUUCUGGGUAGACUGUUAAACUUGAGAUCGGGAGAAGUUAGAGGUACUCCUGGGGUAGAGGUGAAAUUCUGUAAUCCUAGGGGGACCACCAGUGGCGAAGGCGUCUAACUAGAACGAGUCUGACGGUGAGGGACGAAGCCCUGGGGCGCAAACCGGAUUAGAUACCCGGGUAGUCCAGGGUGUAAACGCUGCUUGCUUGAUGUUAGUCGGGCUCCGAGCCCAAUUAGUGUCGGAGAGAAGUUGUUAAGCAAGCUGCCUGGAAGUACGUCGCAAGGC
rnacentral:rRNA from 1 species